rnacentral:misc_RNA from 1 species
UCUCCGUAGGUGAACCUGCGGAGGGAUCAUUACAGAGCAUCAUGCCCUUCGGGGUAGAUCUCCCACCCUAUGUAUUUAUACCUUUUGUUGCUUUGGCGGGCCGCCUCGGCCACCGGCUCCGGCUGGGGAGUGUCUGCCAGAGGACCCCAACUCUUUUGUUUAAAUGUCGUCUGAGUACUAUAUAAUAAGUUAAAACUUUCAACAACGGAUCUCUUGGUUCUGGCAUCGAUGAAGAACGCAGC